GACGAACGCUGGCGGCGCGCUUAACACAUGCAAGUCGAGCGAAGCGGCGGCCGGGUGAGUAACACGUGAGUAACCUGCCUUAGACAUUGGGCUAGCCUCGGGAAACCGGGAUUAAUAUCAAAUGGUCUAAGAUGGACUCGCGUCCCAUUAGCUAGUUGGUGGGUAACGGCCCACCAAGGCGACGAUGGGUAGCCGGCCUGAGAGAGGGCACAGCCACAUUGGAGCUGAGAAACGGUCCAAACUCGACGGGAGGCAGCAGUGGGGAAGAGUGCACCAUGGAGGGAACUCUGGUGCAGCGACGCCGCGUGAACGAAGAAGGCUUUCGAGUCGUAAAGUUCUUUUAAAUGGGAAGCGGAACCAUAAGAAAAAGCCCCGGCUAACUACGUGCCAGCCGCCGCGUAAUUC
rnacentral:rRNA from 1 species